rnacentral:rRNA from 1 species
UUUAUCUGGUAAAGCGAAUGAUUAGAGGUCUUGGGGCCGAAACGAUCUCAACCUAUUCUCAAACUUUAAAUGGGUAAGAAGCCCGGCUCGCUGGCUUGGAGCCGGGCGUGGAAUGCGAGCCGCCAGUGGGCCACUUUUGGUAAGCAGAACUGGCGCUGCGGGAUGAACCGAACGCCGGGUUAAGGCGCCCGAUGCCGACGCUCAUCAGACCCCAGAAAAGGUGUUGGUCGAUAUAGACAGCAGGACGGUGGCCAUG